rnacentral:rRNA from 1 species
GAUGAACGCUGGCGGCGUGCUUAACACAUGCAAGUCGAACGGAAAGGCCGAAGCUUGCUUCGGUACUCGAGUGGCGAACGGGUGAGUAACACGUGGGUGAUCUGCCCUGUACUUCGGGAUAAGCUUGGGAAACUGGGUCUAAUCCCGGAUAUGACGUUUUCUUGGUUGGGGUUGUGGAAAGCUUUUGCGGUAUGGGAUGAGCGCGCGGCCUAUCAGCGUGUUGGUGGGGUAAUGGCCUACCAAGGCGUCGACGGGUAGCCGGCCUGAGAGGGUGUACGGCGACAUUGGGAAUGAGAGACGGCCCAGACUCCUACGGGAGGCAGCAGUGGGGAAUAUUGCACAAUGGGCGCAAGCCUGAUGCAGCGACGCCGCGUGGGGGAUGACGGCCUUCGGGUUGUAAACUCCUUUCGCAAUCGACGAAGCCUUUUGGUGACGGUAGGUGGAGAAGAAGCACCGGCUAACUACGUG